AUUGAACGCUGGCGGCAGGCCUAACACAUGCAAGUCGAACGAGGGGCGGACGGGUGUGUAAUGUCUGGGAAACUGCGCGAUGGAGGGGGAUAACUAGUGGAAACGGUAGCUAAUACCGCAUACCAUCGGAUGUGCCAAGAGGGGAUUAGCGAGUAGGUGGGGUAACGGCUCACCAAGGCGACGUCCACUAGCUGGUCUGAGAGGAUGACCAGCCACACUGGAACUGGGACACGGCCCAGACUCCUACGGCAGGCAGCAGUGGGGAAUAUUGCACAAUGGGCGCAAGCCUGAUGCAGCCAUGCCGCGUGUAUGAAGAAGGCCUUCGGGUUGUAAAGUUCUUUCAGCGAGGAGGCGUUACCCGCAGAAGAAGCACCGGCUAACUCCGUGCCAGCAGCCGCGGUAAUAC
rnacentral:rRNA from 1 species